rnacentral:lncRNA from 1 species
AACAACAAACAAGAAGUGGUUGUAACUAAGUCUCAACAACUUGAGAAGAAGAGAAGAAAAAUCACCAACAACUUGACGCCAACACUUGACACCAAGCAAAAGGGAUGCCACCCACUUCUCUCUAAGAUCCAAAAGGAGAUGCCUAGAGAGAGAGGAUGUGGGCUAGAGAGAGAGGAGAGGGGGCGUGAGCAUAAUAAUAGGUGGCAGC